UACAGAGGUCUCAAGCGUUGUUCGGAUUCAUUGGGCAUAAAGAGCUCGUAGGCGGUUGGGUAAGUCGGGUGUGAAAACUCCAGGCUCAACUUGGAGACGCCACCCGAUACUGCUCUGACUUGAGUUCGGUAGGGGAGUGGGGAAUUCCUGGUGUAGCGGUGAAAUGCGCAGACUAUCAGGAGGAACACCGGUGGCGAAGGCGCCACUCUGGGCCGAAACUGACGCUGAGGAGCGAAAGCGUGGGUAGCAAACAGG
rnacentral:rRNA from 1 species